AUUGAACGCUGGCGGCAGGCCUAACACAUGCAAGCCGAGCGGCAGCGGGAAAGUAGCUUGCUACUUUUGCCGGCGAGCGGCGGACGGGUGAGUAAUGCCUGGGGAUCUGCCCAGUCGAGGGGGAUAACUACUGGAAACGGUAGCUAAUACCGCAUACGCCCUACGGGGGAAAGCAGGGGACCUUCGGGCCUUGCGCGAUUGGAUGAACCCAGGUGGGAUUAGCUAGUUGGUGAGGUAAUGGCUGACCAAGGCGAUGAUCCCUAGCUGGUCUGAGAGGAUGAUCAGCCAAACAGGAACUGAGACACGGUCCAGACUCCUACGGGAGGCAGCAGUGGGGAAUAUUGCACAAUGGGGGAAACCCUGAUGAAGCCAUGCGGCGUGUGGGAAGAAGGCCUUCGGGUUGUAAAGCACUUUCAGCGAGGAGGCAAGGUUGGUAGCUAAUAACUGCCAGCUGUGACGUUACUCGCAGAAGAAGCACCGGCUAACUCCGUGCCAGCCGCCGCAGUAAAAC
rnacentral:rRNA from 1 species